rnacentral:rRNA from 1 species
AUGUGAUUAAGAUAAUAAGGGUAUAUGGUGGAUGUCUUGGCAUCAAGAGGCGAUGAAGGGCGUGUUAAGCUGCGAUAAGCUUCGGGGAGUUGCAAGAGAACUUUGAUCCGGAGAUUCCUGAAUUAUUGUGGGGUGAAUACAUAGCUCCAUAAGGCGAACCCAGCGAACUGAAACAUCUAAGUAGCUGGAGGAAGAGAAAGAAAAAUCGAUUCCCUUAGUAGUGGCGAGCGAAACGGGAACAGCCCAAACUUACGAGCUUCGGCUUGUGAGGGUAGUAGGACUCAGUUGUGAGACUAAUGAGGAUAGAAGAAUGGCAUGGAAAGGCCAACCAUAGACGGUGACAGUCCGGUAUUCGAAAUUUGAGUUAGCUCUAUGAGUAUCCUGAGUAGCGCGGGUCACGUGGAACCCCGUGUGAAUCUGGGAGGACCAUCUCCUAAGGCUAAAUACUCCUUGAUGACCGAUAGUGAACAGUAGCGUGAGUGAACGAUGAAAAGUACCCCGGUGAGGGGAGUGAAAUAGUACCUGAAACCAUAUACUUACAAGCUGUAAGAGCCCUAUGUGCUUGCACACGGGUGAUUGCGUGCCUAUUGCAUAAUGAACCGGUGAGUUACUGAUAUGUUGCGAGGUUAAGGAUUUACGGUCCGAAGCCGAAGCGAAAGCGAGUCUUAAACGGGCGUCAGAGUAGCAUGUCGUAGACCUGAAACCAGGUGAUCUAUUUAUGGCCAGGUUGAAGCGAGAGUAAAAUCUUGUGGAGGACCGAACCCACUUAGGUUGAAAACUGAGGGGAUGAGCUGUGAAUAGGAGUGAAAGUCUAAUCAAACCUGGAGAUAUCUGGUUCUCUCCGAAAUAUAUUUAGGUAUAGCCUCGAGCCACUAUGACGUAGGGGUAGAGCACUGACUAGGCUAGGGUCCUUACCCGGAUACCAAACCUUAUCAAACUCCGAAUACUACGUUAAUUAUCUCGGGAGUCAGACUGCGGGGGAGAAGCUUCGUAGUCGAGAGGGGAACAGCCCAGACCGCCAAUUAAGGUCCCUAAGAUUGUGUUAAGUGUAAUGAAGGAUGUGAAGAUGCUAAGACAGCUAGGAUGUUGGCUUAGAAGCAGCCACCAUUUAAAAAGUGCGUAAUAGCUUACUAGUCGAGCAUUUUUGCGCCGAGAAUACGCGGGACUCAAACACAACACCGAAAUUGCGGCUUUGCAGUUUACUGCAAGGAGUAGGAGAGCGUCGUUAAGCAGAUACGAGCCAUACCGUGAGGAGUGGUGUUGGGCUUAACGAGUGAUUAUGCCGGUAUAAGUAACGAUAAACAAGGUGAGAAUCCUUGUCGCCGUAAACCUAAGGUUUCCCGGGGAAGGUAAAUCCGCCCGGGGUUAGUCGGGACCUAAGCAAAGGCUGAAAAGCGUAUGCGAUGGAUAACAGGUUAAUAUUCCUGUACCAUGUUCUGGAGGUUAUUACCUAUGGAGUGACGGAGUAGGUUAAUCAAGCCCACGGUUAGAUGUGUGGGUUCAAGCGUGUAGGGUGGCAUUUAGGUAAAUCCGGAUGUCAUUAAGCCUGAGACGUGAUGUGGUAGGUCUUCGGACCUUUAAGUUGAUGAUACCAUGCUUCCAAGAAAAGCUUCUAUGGGACGAAAGAAUGUGCUCGUACUAAAACUGACACAGGUAGGUGAGGAGAGUAUCCUCAGGCGCUCGAGAGAACUCUCGUUAAGGAACUCGGCAAAUUGGAUCCGUAACUUCGGGAUAAGGAUCGCCUGAUACGUAUAAGAUUUACUUCGAAAGCGUUGAUGGCCGCAGUGAAUAGGCCCAAGCGACUGUUUACUAAAAACACAGGUCUGUGCUAAAUAGCAAUAUGAUGUAUACAGACUGACACCUGCUCGAUGCUGGAAGGUUAAAGAAGCUGGUUCACGCUAGCGACUGAAGCCCCAGUGAAUGGCGGCCGUAACUAUGACGGUCCUAAGGUAGCGAAGUUCCUUGUCGGGUAAGUUCCGACCUGCAUGAAUGGUGUAACGACUUGGGCACUGUCUCAACGAGAGACUCGGUGAAAUUGCAACCGUCGUGAAGAUGCGACGUACCCGCGGAAAGACGAAAAGACCCCGUGAACCUUUACUAUAGUCUAAUAUUGGGUUUUGUUAUAAUUUGUGUAGGAUAGGUGGGAGACUUUGAAGCCGGAGCGCUAGCUAAGGUGGAGUCGUUGGUGAAAUACCACCCUGAUUAUGAUAAGAUUCUAACCGGUUUCCAUGAAUCUGGAAUCGGGACAGUGUUAGAUGGGUAGUUUGACUGGGGCGGUCUCCUCCCAAAGAGUAACGGAGGAGUUCAAAGGUACCCUCAGCAUGGUCGGUAAUCAUGCUUCGAGUGCAAAGGCAUAAGGGUGCUUAACUGCGAGACUUAUGGGUCGAGCAGAUAGGAAACUAGGACUUAGUGAUCCAGCGCUUCUGUAUGGAAGGGGCGUUGCUCAACAGAUAAAAGGUACUCCGGGGAUAACAGGCUGAUCCUACCCAAGAGUUCAUAUCGACGGUAGGGUUUGGCACCUCGAUGUCGGCUCAUCACAUCCUGGGGCUGAAGCAGGUCCCAAGGGUUGGGCUGUUCGCCCAUUAAAGUGGUACGCGAGCUGGGUUUAAACCGGCGUGAGCCAGGUUGGUCUCUAUCUUCCGUGGGCGUAAGAAUUUUGAGGGGAUGUUUCCUUAGUACGAGAGGAUUGGGAAGCACGAUCCAAUGGUGUUCCUGUUGUGUCGCUAGAUGCAUUGCAGGGUAGCUAAGAUCGGAAAGGAUAAACGCUGAAAGCAUCUAAGCGUGAAGCCCACCCCAAGAUUAGAAUUCUAUUCCGUAAGGAUGAAGCCUCCUUGAAGACUACAAGGUUGAUAGGCUGGAUGUGUAAGGCGUGAAAGCGCUUCAGCUAACCAGUACUAAUUGGCGAACUCUUAAUCAC